UACGAAGGGGGCUAGCGUUGGCUCGGAAUCACUGGGCGUAAAGCGCACGUAGGCGGCUUGUUAAGUCAGGGGUGAAAUCCUGGAGCUCAACUCCAGAACUGCCUUUGAUACUGGCGAGCUUUGAGUCCGGGAGAGGUGAGUGGAACUGCGAGUGUAGAGGUGAAAUUCGUAGAUAUUCGCAAAGAACACCAGUGGCGAAGGCGGCUCACUGGCCCGGUACUGACGCUGAGGUGCGAAAAGCGUGGGGAGCAAACAGGG
rnacentral:rRNA from 1 species